GACGAACGCUGGCGGCGUGCCUAACACAUGCAAGUCGAACGGAAAGGCCCGGCUGUUGUGGGCUGCUCGAGUGGCGAACUGGUGAGUAACACGUGAGUAACCUGCCCUUGACCUUGGGAUAACUUCAGGAAACUGGGGCUAAUACCGGAUAGGAUCACCUGCCGCAAGGUGGGUGAUGGAAAGUUUCUGCGGUUGGGGAUGGACUCGCGGCUUAUCAGCUUGUUGGUUGGGUAGUGGCAUACCAAGGCGUUGACGGGUAGCCGGCCUGGGAGGGUGACCGGGCACAUUAGGACUGGAAUACGGCACAGCCUCCUCCGGGAGGGAACAGUGGAGUAUAGUGUACUAUGCGAUGAAGGCUACUGCGACGACGCCACGUCCGGGAUGUCGGCCAUCAGUUUGUAAUGCGCUUUUGUAUGUGACGAAGAGUGAGUGACGGUAAUGGGUUAAGAAGCACCGGCUAACUACGUG
rnacentral:rRNA from 1 species